rnacentral:lncRNA from 1 species
CGCAGCGCCAAAAACAAGGCCCUGCCACGCAAUCUCGGGUCUGUGUCUGGAACCCGAAUUGUCGACGCCAAGGCGCAGAGUGCGCCAGCGGCGCCCGUCGUCGUCGACGGUCAGGUCGUCCACCACCGCGUCGGGCCUAUAGUAUUUCGAUGGCACCAGAUCGGCGUGGUCGUUGGCGAUGGCGACGCGAUCCGCCUCUGGCAGCACGCUCCACGUGCGCACCAACAGAAAGGCCCGGACGUCUCGGUCAAUAUCGCUGUAGAGGAGACUGCGCACGAGCGAGCCUAUACGCGCGGCCGCUUCCUCGCUGUCGGGACCGCUUUCCACGUGCGCGGCACAAAGUCCCGCGAGCACCACCUCGAUGAGGGCGCCGAGGCAAUAGGCCGGCAUACCCACAAAGAGCGAGGCCUUGACGACGUCGACGGGAUCGCCGCAGUCGCCCGCGCUGGCGGCAUAGUCUGGGGCGUACAGGCAUUCGACAAGAAAGGCCACGCUGUCGGCGCGAAAUGGGACCUCGAUCGAAUAGACCGCACGAAAGACGCGCCCACCGUCGGCGUCCUCGUUCUCAAUACGAUCCGGAUUGGUAUGUUUAAAGAGCGCGCUAAAAUAGGCCGCGCGUGCCACGACGGCGCGGUGGGUAUCGAUGCGCGCGGCGACGCCCUGGAUCGAAUCAUCGCCGCGCAGUUCUAUGACGCAGUCGCAAUGGGCACGGCGCAGGCUGGCGAUCACAACGCUCUCACCUGCGCCGGCGUAAUAGUAGGCGCGGUCGCUUCCGACAUCGCGCUCGCCCAUGACUGUCCAGUUUGUGGUGUGUACGGGGUUUUCUUUUUUUCUUUUGGACUCUUGGCGUCGCUCCGCAGAAAGAAAAAGGCGGCGGGGGAGGGUCGCUUUUGUUGCUGGCCAAUGAGAUUGUUUUUUAAUAAUAAUAAUAAUAAUAAUCUGUACGCGGCAUCUAAUCGCUAGCAGCGGCGGUCCGCC